GAUUACAAAGCUGAAUACAACAAACUACGCGAAGAAAAACUAAAGGAACAAACCAAAAAACAAGAAGAGAAAUUGGAAACCAUUGCCAAAAGUAAAGGUGCUGGCAGCGAAAUUAAAUUGACGGGCUUUGUGGAGGAGGUUUCCAGUGGUCGCGAACUUUCCGAUGUCUAUUUAAAACAUCCGGGCAAUGAAAGUUCCGAAGAUGAAGAAGGCAACGAGGAUGAGGCCCCAUCCACCUAUCAAGUUGAACAAACGGAAGAACAAAAUUUCCAACAGUUUGUUAAAAAUCGUAUCGAUACACAAAAUGAAAAGAAUAAACAGCUAAUGUCGGAAUGAA